AUGUGUGUUUUCUGGAGGUGCUCAUGGCUCAGAGACACGAGGAACUGGGCAGGCCACACGUUCAUGGGAGGCCAGCCCCUGCCGCUGAGUGCCCAGGCUAAGCCGGCCCUGCCCCAGCCCCACACUGGAGGAAACUGUGGAGUCUCUGCCCAGAGCGAAGCUCCUCUUGCACUCACAUCUGGGGUCCCUCACAAACGGGGCAUCCUGCCUCUCACCCGCCAGCAGGAUCUGCCCAUCCAGGCCGUCCAAGCGCUAGCCUGUAAGAGUCCAGAGGAGGGGAGAAAGGACACAGGGGAGGAGGUGACGAGAGGACCAGCGAGAAGUAGAGCACUCAAUCCAUCUAGAGAGAAAUGGCUCACCCACUGCCUUGCGAAUGAAUGUGGAGACCAGACCCAGGAUCACAGAGACGACCCAUGAAGCACAUGUUCAGAAAACCAGAAUACGUAGAGAGGACUGGCUGUCAGAAUGGCACUCAGUUUCUCUGUGGACCACCAGGUGCUGAGUCAACGGAACAAUGGCUUCAAAAUGCUGGCAGGAAAUGACCAAAUCUCAGGUCUAGCCAAGCCAUUGUCACACCAGUGAAGGCUUGGGAAAUGUAUUUUCUGUGACUCCUGCUCUAAGAAGACACUGGAAUGAGUAGUUCAUUUAGUAAAUUAAAAAAAACAGUGUAGGAGACAGGAGCUGGAACCCAGGGAGAUCCUAGAUAUCCCCUGGGCGUCCAGCUUGGCCUGUCAGGAGUAGAGGGACGGGGUUCUAGAAACAGGGGCACGGACAGAUCGCCUCACACCACAGAGCACUUGUGGAAAAAAACACAUGGUAUGGUAGAUACAGGGCAGGUCUUUGAGAUCAUGCGGACAAAACCAAGUCUAUGAAGAUGGAAGACAAACUAGGUAAAAAGUAGGGCAAUCAUUACAUCCAGGAAAAAUGAAAAGUUACAUAAAAAAGAAAACUAAGUGUACUACUGGACUCAGAAGAAAAACACUGGUUUUUGAGAUAUUAGGAUGUAAACGGUGGUUACCAAUAAAAACUUGAGCUUUAACUCUCCUUGGAGGAUGGGUGGGGGUGUGGAGAAGGAUAAGGCGUAAGAACCUACCUCAUUCACCAGAACAGAAAGCGCACCGAUAAUGCCUAAAGUAGCCAAUCAAGAAACAGCACUACAGGACUUCCUGGGCGGUCCAGCGCCGAAGACGCCCAACUCCCAACGCGGGAGGCCUGGCUUUGAUCUCUGGUCAGGGAACUAGAUCCCACGUGCCACAACUAAAGAUUUUACAUGCUGCGACGAAGAUCCCGCAUGCUGCAACUGAACAGCCUGCGUGCCGCAAUGAACAUGGAAGGCCCUGCGACCAAGAGCAGCUAAACAAAUAAGUAUUAAACAAAAGAAACCGCACUAAACGUUAUUUAGAAGCAUGAGAGUAAAAACGUGCAGGCCAUUCUCUGUCUACUCAUUUAUUUUCGGUUGCACUUGGUCUUCGCUGCUGUGCUCAGGUUUUCUGUGGUUGAAGGGGUGGGGCUCCUCUCGCACGGCAGUGCGCACGCUUCUCGCUGCAGUCGCUUCUCUCGCUGCCGAGCACAGGCUCUGGGCGCGUGGGCUGGCACCUGUGGCGAAUGGGCUCAGCUACCCUGCGGCAUGUGCAAUCUUCCCAGACGGGGAAUCAAACCUGUGUCCCCUGCAUCGGCAGGUGGAUUUCUAACCUCUUUACCACAAGGGGAGUCUGACAGGAGACUAGUGAAGAGAGCUGCAAGAGGUCCUUUGGGGAAGGUGGAAAGGAAAAGCAGACCUGUUGGUUUUUAUCAUAAACCUCCUGGAACUAUUUGUCCUUAAGCAUGUGUGUGAAUUCUUAUAACUAAAACCAUUAAAAGUAAAACAAUGAGGAAACUGGCUAUAAAGACAUAUGGAGAGAUGCUCCCCUUCAUUAGGCAUCGAGGAAAACAGCACCCUCAACUACAGUGGGGUACCUGCUGGAAUGGCACAUCAGAAGUGGGGCAAUGACAACUUUCAACCACUGCUUCUGGGAUGUUUACUGGGGACAGCGGACAUGGAGUGACUUCACAGGAAGGCUGACGGCACACACAACCACCCCAUGACCCUCGAGUCCCCUCCUAGGCACACAGGCUGGGCAACCCUUGUCCGUGAGCUCUGGGAGACGUGGACAAGACCAUCACAGCACACUGCUGCUGACGGCCCCAGACAUCCCCCGCAGAGGCAUGCAUCCACAAACGGGGUGCAUUCUUCCGACAGAGCACGGCUCAGUGACAGAAGGAACAAACUGCAGCUACUCACAGCAGCGCAGGUCAAUGCGAUGAGUAAGAUGUCGCAGGAAAAAAGGCAAAUCAAGAAAACACAGAAGAGUACUACCGUCUGAGCCACCAGAGAAGCCCUGUGGUUUA
ensembl:lincRNA